rnacentral:rRNA from 1 species
UACGGGGGGGGCAAGCGUUGUUCGGAAUUACUGGGCGUAAAGGGCUCGUAGGCGGCCAACUAAGUCAGACGUGAAAUCCCUCGGCUUAACCGGGGAACUGCGUCUGAUACUGGAUGGCUUGAGAUUGGGAGAGGGAUGCGGAAUUCCAGGUGUAGCGGUGAAAUGCGUAGAUAUCCGGAGGAACACCGGUGGCGAAGGCGGCUUCCCGGACCGACACUGACGCUGAGGCGCGAAAGCUAGGGGAGCAAACGGG